GAUGAACGCUGGCGGCGUGCCUAAGACAUGCAAGUCGAGCGAAGAGGGGACGGGUGAGUAACACGUGGAUAACCUCCUAUAAGACUGGGAAAACUUCGGGAAACCGGAGCUAAACCGGAAAAUUAAAGAUGGAUCUGAGCUGCAUUAGCUAGUUGGGAAGGUAACGGCUUACCAAGGCAACGAUGCCUCGCCGACCUGAGAGGGUGAGCGGCCACACUGGAACUGCGACACGGUCCAGACUCCUACGGGAGGCAGCAGUGGGGAAUGUUCCGCAAUGGGCGAAAGCCUGACGGAGCAACGCCGCGUGUGUGAUGAAGGCCUUCGGAUUGUAAAGCUCUUUUAUUAGGGAGGCGUUACCUAAUCAGAAAGCCCCGGCUAACUACGUGCCAGCAGCCGCGGUAAUAC
rnacentral:rRNA from 1 species